GUGAGCAGGAUUAGAGAGCAAGUGAGCAGCAUUAGAGAGCAAGUGAGCAGCAUUAGAGAGCAAGUGAGCAGCAUUAGAGAGCAAGUGAGCAGCAUUAGAGAGCAAGUGAGCAGGAUUAGAGAGCAAGUGAGCAGGAUUAGAGAGCAAGUGAGCAGCAUUAGAGAGCAAGUGAGCAGCAUUAGAGAGCAAGUGAGCAGCAUUAGAGAGCAAGUGAGCAGGAUUAGAGAGCAAGUGAGCAGGAUUAGAGAGCAAGUGAGCAGCAUUAGAGAGCAAGUGAGCAGCAUUAGAGAGCAAGUGAGCAGCAUUAGAGAGCAAGUGAGCAGGAUUAGAGAGCCAGUGAGGAGGAUUAGAGAGCCAGUGAGGAGACUGCAUGAUGUGAGAGCUCCUGUGACAUUCUCUGUGGCUGCUUCAGUCUGUCUGUCUCUUCAUGUCCAUAGGCAGAGAGAGGAGAAUGGGCAGUUCGAGCAGGAUCCAGCCUCAUACACAGCUAAGCCUGUUAGUGACACAUUUUUGUGUCCUCUCAAAUGCACAAGCAGAUAAUUGUGUGCGCUCCAUCUUUGUGUGAGGAGGAGGCCAGGGUGUAAAUGGCUUUUAAUGACUGCAGCUGCUGCCUGAAAACUGUCAAUGGAACGGGCUAUUUGUGAGCCCCUGAAAUGUUCUCAAUGUAACUGGAAGAUGUGCAGUGCCCGGCAAUCCACAAUCCACUGGCUGAACUACAUCAGCAGAGACGAGAGAACUGGCAGUGGGAGCCCCUCUCAGCAAAUCCAUUCCGGACCCUAAUACAGACGCUGCCUCCCCUUACUGAACCACGGAUAUUGCCACUUUCUCCAUACUGUCCUGGCUUCAGAAGAGGAAUUCAGAAAACCUAUUAGAAUACCUGGGAUUUAAAAAAUGCUGAGAUGCUCCGUUUAUCUACUUGUACUUACUCUAAUUUAGUUUUCAUUUCCUUAUGUCCCAUGAAGCCUUCAGAGAAAUGUCACAGAGGCAGAUGGAGCCACGGACACCGGGAAUGAUCCCACAAACAACAAAUACACCGAUAAAUGUCUCCCAUUGGUGGAAACGAGAUAAUGGUU